GUGGAUUAGAUACCCUAGUAGUCCUAGCAGUAAACGGUGCACGCUUGGUGUGAGGGGAAUCGACCCCCCUUGUGCCGGAGCUAACGCGUUAAGCGUGCCGCCUGGGAAGUACGGUCGCAAGACUAAAACUCAAAGAAAUUGACGGGGACCCGCACAAGCGGUGGAGUAUGUGGCUUAAUUCGAUGCAACGCGAAGAACCUUACCAAGGCUUGACAUGCAUCUCUAAACACGUGAAAGCGUGUGACCCUUCGGGGAAUUUGCACAGGUGCUGCAUGGUUGCGUCAACU
rnacentral:rRNA from 1 species